rnacentral:lncRNA from 1 species
GAAACUACUUCCACUCUUAUCUUCCAUACUGCAUAACUGCUAGAUAGACAACUUCUGCCUCACACUUAAGGCCCCAAAGGAACAAGAAUAAAAGCAAUACUUAGAUUAUCAGGAACUACAAUGCCAAUGAUGGAAUGACAACCAUCAUUGCUGUCAACAACAUGUCAACAACAUCAUGUUGUCAACAUGUCAACAACAUCAACAAAUAGAAAGCAUUCCUCCAUUCAUCACUCCUUCUGGGAAGAAGUAGACUAAGAGGUAAGAAGCAACUAAUUUUUCAUGGGAUUUGAAACUAAGUAGGUGAAUCUGAAGUCUGCGCUGCUUCCAUUCCAUCCCAUUGUCUCUUCUGAGGGAGAAAGCUUCUAAGGGAGAAAGCCCUUGGGGCUUGGUAAGUUUGAUCAGACAUAGAUGGUGACAGUGAUAAUCUAGGUUUGACUAGGUUUUACUCUAGAUAUGGGUGGACUAGACAGAACUGACAUUUCC